rnacentral:rRNA from 1 species
UACCUGCAGCUCGAGUGGUAACCGCUAUUAUUGGGCCUAAAGCGUCCGUAGCCGGUUUGGUAAAUAUCUGGGUAAAUCGUGAGGCUUAACUUCACGAAUUUCGGAUAGACUGCCAGACUUGGGAUCGGGGGAGGUCAGAGGUACUCCAGGGGUAGCGGUGAAAUGUUGUAAUCCUUGGAGGACCACCGGUAGCGAAGGCGUCUGACUAGAACGAGUCCGGCGGUGAGGGACGAAGCCCUGGGGCGCAAACCGGAUUAGAUACCCGGGUAGUCCAGGGUGUAAACAAUGUGGGCUUUGUAUUGGAGGUCCCACGUGGGCGUCCAGUGCAGAAGAGAAGUUGUUAAGCCCACCGCCUGGGAAGUACGGUCGCAAGGCUGAAACUUAAAGGAAUUGGCGGGGGAGCACAGCAACGGGAGGAGCGUGCGGUUU